UUUGGUGUUUGCUGCAGUUAGAACUCAAAUACAGUAAUUACAUAAAGCUUUUUAUUUUAUGGGUUUUUUUCCUAUAGAUGUUAACUUUUGUGGGUUUUCUUCCCAAGGCUUGCAUUUCAGAACAGUAUUACCCUGUGCAGCAUCUGAAACCUUUGAUACUGGACCAGGCUCCAUCCCAUCCCCAGCAUCACCUGAAAAAGGUUCAGAGGCGCACAUGGCCUGUGACUCCAGACAUCCCAGAAGUGGGCGCUGGAGGAUCAGGAUUGGGAGCCCAGUGGGCUGUACAGACUGUGGCUGGAGACUCGGCUCAGUAAGAGCACGUGCUGCUCCAGCAGAUCAGGGUUCAGAUUCCAACACCCACAGGUCAGUUCACAAUUGCGUGUAACUCCAAGGGCCUGCAAGUACCAGACACACACAUGGUGUACAGACAUGCAUGAAGGUAAAACGCUCAUGUACAUAAGAUGAAUAUCUAGUCAAAAUAAUGUUUCUCCUUGUUUGUGCAGAGAAGUGUUGAUUAGAAUGCUGCCACUUUUAUUCAAGUUUAAAAGUCUGUAACAGCAGCCAGGCAUGAUGGCUCGUGCCUGUAACUCCAGCAACUAGGGCAGGAGAAUCAUGAAUUUCAGGCCAGCCUUGGCUACAUAGCAAGACCUUAUCUUGAGAAAAAGUAAGUGUAGCAUAGAGUGUCUGCGCUCCUGCCCAGUCCUUGGUGGUCCUCACAGAACAGUAGGAGCAGAGCCCGGAGCCCAGCCCUCGUCAGCAGUCCACAGAGCCAGCAGCCAGAGCUUGCUUAUGACCAGCUGUGCUCUGGGGUGCACAGUUGCUUCCGUCUAGGCAGCAUAGACCUCUGCAUAAUUCCUAAAUUCCAGACUUUAACUGUAUAGAAAAUGGCUCCAGAAGACAUUGCAUAAUACAACACUUGGAAUGGCUGCAAGAGUUCCUAAGAGAAAGUUGACAUUGCCGAGCAUGGUGGCACAUGCCUUUAAUCCCAGCUUUUGAGGGACAGAGGAGGCAGAUCUGGUCCACAUACUGAAUUCCAGGCCAGUCAGGGCUCCAUAGUGAGACCCUACUUCAGAGAGAAGAGGAGGACAUUUUAACACUGUCGCUCUCCUAUGACACCUUUGAAUGGUUAGGGCAGGAACGACUGUGGUACAGCUCCUGUGAGUCAGCACACAGCAAGACCGGGCUUCUGUUGGGCCUUUGUGACUUCUUACAGGUUUCCAAAUUGGAAAGGACAAUUCAUUUGGGUAUUCAACCUUGCUAGGCCCCAGCAGGAGAUAGGCUAAUAUCUAAUUAGCUUAUUAGCCAUGCCAUAGUCCCCUGACUGGAAAUGGCUACCUUGCCCAUGCUAAGGUAGAUAUGCCAAGAGCCUGCCCGGCUCUGCCCUGCCACCACAGAGACGCUAUGUCAGCAGUCUCCAGGCUGCCUGGCACUCCGACCAGGAUUUCCCUGUAAUGAACAAGUCUGGUAAACUCUCUGGAGGAGGAACCUUGGUAUCUGUCUAGAACAGAUGAGAAAAGGCAGAGCAGUGGAUGGCUUCAACCCAGCAGCUCUGUAAAUCCACCCUUGCAGCUAAUGAAGGAGCCCUCCAUUUCUUUGCCUCUAGUCAGCAGUGACUAACGACGUGAUAGGCAGAGGAGUCUGAUGGACUUUUAAGAACUAAGUACCUAGAUGGUUGUAGAAAUGAAGGAAAACUUGGUUAUAGAAGCCUUUUGUAUACACAUUGCAGUGAGGUGGUUUACAGCAGAUUUUAUUUCUGAAAUGUUAUAAACUUGUAAUUAAUGAAAGGUUUUAUAAACAUUGUCCUAUAUUUGUAUGUUUGUAAAUAUAUUGUGUAAGUUCUAAGUAUAAAUAUGUCAAUAUUGUGUGUUAUUUUAAAUUGCCUGUAUGUCAUCUUAUAAAUGGACAUUAAAAUAAAAGCCAAUCCUCCAGUAGCAUGUAAUAAACACUUUAAAAUAU
rnacentral:lncRNA from 1 species